UCUGACCUCAAAUCAGGUAGGACUACCCGCUGAACUUAAGCAUAUCAAUA
rnacentral:rRNA from 1 species